rnacentral:piRNA from 1 species
AGAAAAGCCAUUGUUCACUAUAAAUUACAGC